rnacentral:sRNA from 1 species
ACAGUGCUGAGGUAGCUUUAGCCCACAUAGUACUCCUGGCCACACCGUGUUCUUCCAAAGAGCUCAGCUCUCUCUGCCUCAGUUCCCUCAUCUAUAAAAUGGGAGUGUUGUGAGGUUUAAAGAAUACAUGCGAGUCACUUAUCGUGGUCUCUGGCACCUAGUCCACACGUUCCGAGGCCCACAUUGGUGUGAAUAUUGUGCCAAUUUCAUGUGGGGGCUCAUCGCCCAAGGGGUCCGGUGCUCAGACUGUGGAUUGAACGUACACAAACAGUGUUCCAAGCACGUUCCCAAUGACUGCCAACCUGAUCUCAAGAGGAUCAAGAAAGUGUACUGUUGUGACCUCACAACACUUGUGAAGGCUCACAACACUCAGAGACCCAUGGUGGUAGACAUAUGCAUUCGGGAAAUUGAAGCAAGAGGAUUAAAAUCAGAAGGCCUUUAUAGAGUCUCUGGGUUCACUGAACACAUUGAAGAUGUCAAAAUGGCAUUUGACAGAGAUGGUGAAAAGGCCGAUAUAUCUGCCAAUGUCUAUCCAGACAUAAACAUCAUCACUGGAGCCCUUAAACUGUAUUUCAGAGACUUACCCAUCCCUGUCAUCACAUAUGAUACCUAUUCCAAAUUUAUAGAUGCAGCAAAAAUCUCCAAUGCAGAUGAGAGGCUGGAAGCCGUCCAUGAAGUGCUGAUGCUGCUGCCUCCUGCCCACUAUGAAACCCUCCGGUACCUAAUGAUCCACCUCAAAAAGGUUACUAUGAAUGAAAAAGACAAUUUCAUGAAUGCAGAAAAUCUGGGGAUCGUGUUUGGGCCCACUCUGAUGAGGCCCCCUGAGGACAGCACCCUUACCACCCUGCAUGAUAUGCGGUACCAAAAGCUGAUUGUGCAGAUUUUAAUAGAAAACGAAGACGUUUUAUUCUAAUCCAU